rnacentral:rRNA from 1 species
UACGUAGGCAGCAAGCGUUGUUCGGAGUUACUGGGCGUAAAGGGUGCGUAGGCGGUUGUUUAAGUUUGGUGUGAAAUCUCCCGGCUCAACUGGGAGGGUGCGCCGAAUACUGAAUGACUAGAGUGCGGGAGAGGAUAGUGGAAUUCCUGGUGUAGCGGUGAAAUGCGUAGAUAAUCAGGAGGAACACCGGUGGUGUAGACGGCUAUCUGGACCGUAACUGACGCUGAGGCACGAAAGCGUGGGUAGCAAACAGG